UGUCCACAGCAGGGAGCUCCAUUUGUCUGGGCUGCCUGUGAUGGUUGCAGAUUAGUAUGGUUUCAUCUAGAGGACAUCUGAGCCUCAGUUUUAUAUUUUUGCAUGUUCAGGGACACUGAGGUACGAAGAGGAAGAACUGAGGGACUGGAGAACAAGCUGACAACUUCACUUCGAAGAUGCAUGGGCUACAAGCAGCUGGCUCCAUAUUCUUUACCUAAUUUGUAUCCCACCCUGGAAAUUCGCCUUGAAUCAACGUGCUGUUGUAUUGUAAUCCAGAGAUCUAAGUAAGGUUCUGAGGACUAAAAUGGUGAAUUUUGAUUUCAAUAAAAUCUGGAAUGAAAGGUCUAACAAUGACCAUGAAACUGUUGUCAUACUGCCAUCCCUGCUUGGUCUGGCCUACGCAGCGAUGUGGAUGGCUUGUGACUAUCCUCUGAAACGGCCCAGCAACCCAGUCAGUUGUGUGAAAUACUAAAAAGUUUUGAAAAUGGGAUGAAACCAAGUGGGCCAUCUGGUAUUGACUAAAGCACCAGAAACGAUAACGGCAAACCAAAAUUAACAUUAAAAAUCAACAAAAGCCUGAUGUAAUCAUUCUCAGGUUAGAUGUUAAGAAUCCUACAGUGACCUUUAUCUCCUGACUUUCCAAAGCCUGUCCCACCAUCUACAAGGCGCAAGUCAGGAGUGUGAUGGAAUGCUCCCCACUUGCCUGGAUGGGUGCAGCCCCAACA